rnacentral:rRNA from 1 species
GGCUUAUUUGACUCAACACGGGGAAACUCACCAGGUCCAGACACAAUAAGGAUUGACAGAUUGAGAGCUCUUUCUUGAUUUUGUGGGUGGUGGUGCAUGGCCGUUCUUAGUUGGUGGAGUGAUUUGUCUGCUUAAUUGCGAUAACGAACGAGACCUUAACCUGCUAAAUAGCCCGGCCCGCUUUGGCGGGUCGCCGGCUUCUUAGAGGGACUAUCGGCUCAAGCCGAUGGAAGUUUGAGGCAAUAACAGGNCUGUGAUGCA